CCAUUUUAGGGAUUGGCGACUUACCCAUUCAGUGACUUUGGCACUGGACGUUCCAAAAAUGGGGUACUAUCGGGUCGGGUGAAUUCAAUAAUAGAGGCCUGUUGGCAUUCCAGCCUUCCUUCUCCUUUCAGGGCCUACCCGAAAGAGAAUCAGUGUUUCUUGGUCGUGAAUAUCUAAAUAGGACGAACCGCCCCGUGGUUUGCUUCGGAACAAAACAAUUAGAAUUAGGCUCGUUGAACUGGAAUGUGUAUUAUCCAUAUAGGGGAUCUUUCAAUGGAGAAGAUCCGUCGACCUAAGACGAAGAGAGG